AAUGAUGCUUAGAUUAAGAGGAGUAAUACUGGUAAAAAGCAAAAAGAGAGAAAAUCCAUUGGCUGAAAGAUUUUCCUUAAAACAGUAUGAAGGUAGCUUAGGAGCAGAAAAGUUUUUUCCGAGUUGCACUCGUUAAAGUGCUUUUAAGUGACAGUACUAUUGUGCUGUAAUCUAGGUGGUACCGCGAGAUAUUCGUCCUAAAG
rnacentral:ncRNA from 1 species